CACGUAGGAGGCGAGCGUUGUCCGGAAUCAUUGGGCGUAAAGAGCGCGCAGGCGGCUUGGCAAGUCGGGUGUGAAAUCCCGGGGCUCAACCCCGGGACUGCAUUCGAUACUGUCAGGCUAGAGGUAGGUAGGGGAGACUGGAAUUCCCGGUGUAGCAGUGAAAUGCGUAGAUAUCGGGAGGAACAUCUGUGGCGAAGGCGACACCCUGGACCAGCACUGACACUGAGGCACGAAAGCGUGGGGAGCAAACAGG
rnacentral:rRNA from 1 species